rnacentral:rRNA from 1 species
AAUGAACGCUGGCGGCAGGCUUAACACAUGCAAGUCGAACGAGAACGCACCUUCGGGUGUUAGUAGAGUGGCAAACGGGUGAGUAACACGUGGGAAUCUACCUAUCAGUAUGGGACAACCAUUGGAAACGAUGGCUAAUACCGUAUAAGCUCUUCGGAGGAAAGAUUUAUCGCUGAUAGAUGAGCCCGCGCAAGAUUAGCUAGUUGGUAAGGUAAUGGCUUACCAAGGCUACGAUCUUUAGCUGGUCUGAGAGGAUGAUCAGCCACACUGGGACUGAGAUACGGCCCAGACUCCUACGGGAGGCAGCAGUGAGGAAUAUUGGACAAUGGAGGAAACUCUGAUCCAGCCAUGCCGCGUGAGUGAUGAAGGCCCUAGGGUUGUAAAACUCUUUCAGUAGGGAAGAUAAUGACGGUACCUACAGAAGAAGCCCCGGCUAACUUCG